rnacentral:rRNA from 1 species
UACGUAGGGUCCGAGCGUUGUCCGGAAUUAUUGGGCGUAAAGGGCUCGUAGGCGGUUAGUCACGUCGGGAGUGAAAACUCAGGGCUCAACCCUGAGCGUGCUUCCGAUACGGGCUGACUAGAGGUAUGCAGGGGAGAACGGAAUUCCUGGUGUAGCGGUGGAAUGCGCAGAUAUCAGGAGGAACACCGAUGGCGAAGGCAGGUCUCUGGGCCAUAACUGACGCUGAGAAGCGAAAGCAUGGGGAGCGAACAGG